AAAUAAUAUCUCUUCUGUUUAAAUUUUAAGGAACUGCCGGAUUCUUUUCCAAAGUGGCCACAUCAUUUUGCAUUCCAACCAGCAGUGUAUGAGGG